rnacentral:rRNA from 1 species
GACGAACGCUGGCGGCGUGCUUAACACAUGCAAGUCGAACGGAAAGGCCCUGCUUUUGUGGGGUGCUCGAGUGGCGAACGGGUGAGUAACACGUGAGUAACCUGCCCCUGACUUUGGGAUAACUUCAGGAAACUGGGGCUAAUACCGGAUAGGAGCUCCUGCUGCAUGGUGGGGGUUGGAAAGUUUCGGCGGUUGGGGAUGGACUCGCGGCUUAUCAGCUUGUUGGUGGGGUAGUGGCUUACCAAGGCUUUGACGGGUAGCCGGCCUGAGAGGGUGACCGGCCACAUUGAGACUGAGAUACGGCCCAGACUCCUACGGGAGGCAGCAGUGGGGAAUAUUGCACAAUGGGCGGAAGCCUGAUGCAGCAACGCCGCGUGCGGGAUGACGGCCUUCGGGUUGUAAACCGCUUUCGCCUGUGACGAAGCGUGAGUGACGGUAAUGGGUAAAGAAGCACCGGCUAACUACGUG